UUCUGUUGUUCCCUUCCCCCACCCCACCCCCCCCCCGAAGAUAUCGGACCUACUCCGGGCAGGAGCUCCCCUGGGGUCUGCGAGAGAAGCUUCGUACCCUCUGCGGCAAAGAGAGAUACAGCUCAACCCCCUUGGACUGGUGUAGCUGCAUCUUGGUGGGUGAGAUGAACACAGAAAAUGAGGAGGUCCUUUGGAGGCUGAGCUGCUGGGAACAGCCUGACUUCUGGGAGGAAAUCUGAUGCCAAAGGCUGGCUGUACCAGAGAAAGAAGACAAAACAAUUCCUUCUCUAGCUGGGGACCAAGGACAAAUGAUCCAAAUUUCAGGCCCAAGAGCACAAACAACGUGGACUGAAGAGAGAAAAACAAGCAGGAUGGGACUUCAUGGACUAAAGCUGUAAUUGGACAAUUAACUCCAAUAUGCAAAUGGAGCAGAGCUUCUAAAAGUGAGAGACCCCGUGAGGUGUCGUGCAUUUUGUGACCCUUUUGGUUCAUCUUGGGUGCAGCCCUGGCUGGGCUCUUGUGCUGCCCAAGGUGGAGUCAUUGAGGAGAUCCUUUUAAUAAAUCUCUGCUUUAUUCUUUCA